ACGGAAGUGACAGAAGAGGGCAGGCCGGUUACUCCCGAGGAAGUAGCAAAGAAGUACGUGAGUCAGAUCGGGGCAAUCAUCCGGGACAACAUGCCUAUCAGCAUCAGAGAAUGGAAGGGCAGAAGCACUAAUCCAUACGCCCUCUCGGAGACAGAAAAGAAUAUGCUGUGGGAAGACGUCAAGAGACAUUUCACAUUCCCUGAAGGAUAUAUUGAAAAGGAUGUGAAAGUGUUGAUGCUGAAGAAGAUGGCUACACAAUUCCAGACAUUCAAGAAGAUGUUGGAUGCCCA
rnacentral:lncRNA from 1 species